AUACGUAGGUGACAAGCGUUAUCCGGAUUUACUGGGUGUAAAGGGCGUGUAGGCGGUUUAGCAAGUCAGAAGUGAAAUUCCCGGGCUUAACUUGGGCGCUGCUUCUGAAACUGCUUUACUUGAGUGCUGGAGAGGAUAGUGGAAUUCCUAGUGUAGCGGUAAAAUGCGCAGAUAUUAGGAGGAACACCGGUGGCGAAGGCGGCUAUCUGGACAGUAACUGACGCUGAGGCGCGAAAGCACGGGGAGCAAACAGGAUUAGAUACCCUGGUAGUCCGUGCCGUAAACGAUGAAUACUAGGUGUAGGGGGUAUCGACUCCCUCUGUGCCGCAGUUAACACAUUAAGUAUCCCACCUGGGGAGUACGGCCGCAAGGUUGAAACUCAAAUGAAUUGACGGGG
rnacentral:rRNA from 1 species